rnacentral:rRNA from 1 species
GACGAACGCUGGCGGCGUGCUUAACACAUGCAAGUCGAACGGUAAGGCCCUUCGGGGUACACGAGUGGCGAACGGGUGAGUAACACGUGGGUGAUCUGCCCUGCACUUCGGGAUAAGCCUGGGAAACUGGGUCCAAUUCCGGAUAGGACCACUGCCUGCAUGGGUGGUGGUGGAAAGCUUUUGCGGUGUGGGAUGGGCCCGCGGCCUAUCAGCUUGUUGGGGGGGUGAUGGCCUACCAAGGCGACGACGGGUAGCCGGCCGGAGAGGGUGACCGGCCACACUGGGACUGAGAUACGGCCCAGACUCCUACGGGAGGCAGCAGUGGGGAAUAUUGCACAAUGGGCGCAAGCCUGAUGCAGCGACGCCGCGUGAGGGAUGACGGCCUUCGGGUUGUAAACCUCUUUCAGCACCGACGAAGCGCAAGUGACGGUAGGUGCAGAAGAAGGACCGGCCAACUACGUGCCAGCCGCCGCCGUAA